rnacentral:rRNA from 1 species
CGGUGAUACCACCCGCACGUAUAGAUGGACAAGAAUAGGCCUUCGGCUUAGCGUCUUAGCAGGCGAUUCUUCCACGGCGCUCGAAGCGCGUCGUGGUAUUUCGCGUAUUGUAAUUUCAACACGAGCGGGGUCAAAUCCUUUGCAGACGACUUAGCUGUGCGAAACGGUCCUGUAAGCAGUAGAGUAGCCUUGUUGUUACGAUCUGCUGAGGGUAAGCCGUCCUUCGCCUCGAUUUCCCCAAUGGGUUCUCCGGAUUUCUGGAGACUUGUAGGGGUUGUGGGAUUUUUGAUGUGUCGUCUCCGGACGGGCGGUGCAGGGUAGUCGAGUUAGACUUGGUGGAAUUCCGUCGAUAGGAGUUCCGUCGAGUCUGGUCGGCUGUGUGUUGGACGGUGUAGGGUAGGCUGCUUGGACAUGGUCGGUUCGAGGAUCGAUUCGAGGGCCGGCCUGUCGAUGAUGUGUGAUGUAUGCGGUCUAGGGUAGGUUGGUUUGUCUUGGUUCGAUUUGAUGUCGGCUCCCGUGCAGGCCAGAGUGAGGGGGGUCCAGGGUAGGUGCAGGGUAGGCAGCUUAGAUUUGGUCGAUCUGGAGGUCGAUUCUCCGGCUGGCGGAUCUGACACUGUCGAAACGAGAUGCGAGGGGUGUAGGGUAGGCUAGUUUCGUACUUGCCAGGUUGCGAUUUGGACGAGAUAUGUGGUUUAGGGUAGGCUCUAGGGUAAGUAGAAUUCGAGUUUCGUCGCCGAUAGUUUUCUGUGGGUGUAUGGUAGGUACAGGGUAGGCAAAUCUCUCUCCGGCCAGUACUUGUCUCGUGGUCGUGAGUCGAUUUUUUUGUUUUGCCAUACUAUUGAAUUUUGCGGAAAUUCAAAAGUGGCUCGGGAGUCCCGCCUGGCGUGCGUCCGACUCGAACAUCGUCGGUGUACAUAUGAGAGGGAGUAAUCCGGCCCGGCCGGGGCCCAUCGCGAGCUGCCGGGUAGGUAAAAGUAAAAAAGUUGUUA